GUUCCAGUGGCCUAGUGGUUAGAACGUCUGCCUCAGAUGCGGGAGGUCGUGUGUUCGAUCCCCGGUUGAGUCA